CUACGGGGGGCUGCAGUGAGGAAUAUUGCACAAUGGGGGGAACCCUGAUGCAGCAACGCCGCGUGGAGGAUGACGCAUUUCGGUGUGUAAACUCCUUUUAUAUGUCAAGAAAAUGACGGUAGCAUAUGAAUAAGCACCGGCUAACUCCGUGCCAGCAGCCGCGGUAAUACGGAGGGGCAAGCGUUACUCGGAAUCACUGGGCGUAGAGGACGCGUAGGCGGGUUGGAAAGUCAGGUGUGAAAUCCUACAGCUUAACUGUAGAACUGCACUUGAAACUUCUAAUCUAGAGUAUGGGAGGGGGAGAUGGAAUUAGUGGUGUAGGGGUAAAAUCCGUAGAUAUCACUAGGAAUACCUAAAGCGAAGGCGAUCUCCUGGAACAUUACUGACGCUAAGGCGUGAAAGCGUGGGGAGCAAACAGGAUUAGAUACCCCCGUAGUC
rnacentral:rRNA from 1 species